rnacentral:rRNA from 1 species
UACGUAGGGUGCGAGCGUUGUCCGGAAUUAUUGGGCGUAAAGAGCUCGUAGGCGGUCUGUUACGUCUGCUGUGAAAACCCAGGGCUUAACCCUGGGCUUGCAGUGGAUACGGGCAGACUAGAGGCAGGUAGGGGAGAAUGGAAUUCCCGGUGUAGCGGUGAAAUGCGCAGAUAUCAGGAGGAACACCCGUGGCGAAAGCGGCUCUCUGGGACGGUACUGACGCUGAGACGCGAAAGCGUGGGGAGCAAACAGG